UACGUAGGGGGCAAGCGUUGUCCGGAAUCAUUGGGCGUAAAGCGCGUGUAGGCGGCCUUGUAAGUCCGUUCUGAAAGCCCGGGGCUCAACCCCGGGAGGCGGAUGGAUACUGCAAGGCUCGAGUCCGGAAGAGGCAAGUGGAAUUCCCGGUGUAGCGGUGAAAUGCGCAGAUAUCGGGAGGAACACCAAUGGCGAAGGCAGCUUGCUGGGACGGUACUGACGCUGAGACGCGAAAGCGUGGGGAGCAAACGGG
rnacentral:rRNA from 1 species